rnacentral:rRNA from 1 species
UUNGGAUUUAUUCGAAGGCUAACUACUGCGAAAGCAUUUGCCAAGGAUGUUUUCAUUAAUCAAGAACGAAAGUUAGGGGAUCGAAGACGAUCAGAUACCGUCGUAGUCUUAACCAUAAACUAUGCCGACUAGGGAUCGGAUGAUGUUAAUUUUUUAAUGACUCA